rnacentral:rRNA from 1 species
CCUACGGGCGGCAGCAGUGGGGAAUAUUGCACAAUGGGGGAAACCCUGAUGCAGCGACGCCGCGUGAGCGAUGAAGUAUUUCGGUAUGUAAAGCUCUAUCAGCAGGGAAGAAGAUGACGGUACCUGACUAAGAAGCCCCGGCGAACUACGUGCCAGCAGCCGCGGUAAUACGUAGGGGGCAAGCGUUAUCCGGAUUUACUGGGUGUAAAGGGAGCGGAGGCGGCGAUGCAAGCCAGAUGGGAAAGCCCGGGGCUCAACCCCGGGACUGCAUUUGAAACUGGGUGGCUGGAGUGUCGGAGAGGCAGGCGGAAUUCCUAGUGUAGCGGUGAAAUGCGUAGAUAUUAGGAGGAACACCAGUGGCGAAGGCGGCCUGCUGGACGAUGACUGACGUUGAGGCUCGAAAGCGUGGGGAGCAAACAGGAUUAGAUACCCCGGUAGUC